rnacentral:rRNA from 1 species
GCGGCGGACGGGUGAGUAACACGUGGGUAACCUACCUAUAAGACUGGGAUAACUUCGGGAAACCGGAGCUAAUACCGGAUAACAUUUGGAACCGCAUGGUUCUAAAGUGAAAGAUGGUUUUGCUAUCACUUAUAGAUGGACCCGCGCCGUAUUAGCUAGUUGGUAAGGUAACGGCUUACCAAGGCGACGAUACGUAGCCGACCUGAGAGGGUGAUCGGCCACACUGGAACUGAGACACGGUCCAGACUCCUACGGGAGGCAGCAGUAGGGAAUCUUCCGCAAUGGGCGAAAGCCUGACGGAGCAACGCCGCGUGAGUGAUGAAGGGUUUCGGCUCGUAAAACUCUGUUAUUAGGGAAGAACAAACGUGUAAGUAACUGUGCACGUCUUGACGGUACCUAAUCAGAAAGCCACGGCUAACUACGUGCCAGCAGCCGCGGUAAUACGUAGGUGGCAAGCGUUAUCCGGAAUUAUUGGGCGUAAAGCGCGCGUAGGCGGUUUCUUAAGUCUGAUGUGAAAGCCCACGGCUCAACCGUGGAGGGUCAUUGGAAACUGGGAAACUUGAGUGCAGAAGAGGAAAGUGGAAUUCCAUGUGUAGCGGUGAAAUGCGCAGAGAUAUGGAGGAACACCAGUGGCGAAGGCGACUUUCUGGUCUGUAACUGACGCUGAUGUGCGAAAGCGUGGGGAUCAAACAGGAUUAGAUACCCUGGUAGUCCACGCCGUAAACGAUGAGUGCUAAGUGUUAGG